rnacentral:rRNA from 1 species
CCUACGGGGGGCUGCAGUCGAGGAUCUUCGGCAAUGGGCGCAAGCCUGACCGAGCGACGCCGCGUGUGCGAUGAAGGCCUUCGGGUUGUAAAGCACUGUCGAGGGGGAGGAAAGCCCGAAAGGGUCUGACCUAUCCCUGGAGGAAGCACGGGCUAAGUUCGUGCCAGCAGCCGCGGUAAGACGAACCGUGCAAACGUUGUUCGGAAUCACUGGGCUUAAAGGGCGCGUAGGCGGGACGGAUAGUCUGUGGUGAAAUCCCCCAGCUCAACUGGGGAACUGCCGUGGAUACUCCCGUCCUGGAGGAGAGUAGGGGCAUCUGGAACAGCCGGUGGAGCGGUGAAAUGCGUUGAUAUCGGCUGGAACUCCGGUGGCGAAGGCGAGAUGCUGGACUCUUUCUGACGCUGAGGCGCGAAAGCCAGGGGAGCAAACGGGAUUAGAUA